GGCUCGGUGAGCGCGUGCGUGACGGACGGCCCGCGCCGCCUGCUGUUCUCACCCGUAAAUCUGCCGGUGUGUUUGUGAAGGACGCGAGGAGAAGGUCGCCAAGCGCUCGUCCCUAAUCCUCUGUACGCCGGAGUAAGUUUGUGUUACGAUGACGACUCCUCCGCUAACUCUGACUCCGUUUUGCUCCUCUGUUUGCGGACCUCGGAGGGAGCUCCUGCUCAAACGCUUCAGAUGAGGGUGGAGUGAAACAUCUCCAUCAUCUCUGCUUUGCUUUGGCUUCGGUUCAGCCUCAGACGUCACUUAUUACAGAAGACCCCUUCUGGAUACGGGUUUGACAUGGAUUUAAUGCUUCACAUUUUACGCUUAAUCAUAAAUGGACCUUAUUGUUAAGUGUUACCGUUAAAUUACCGUGUUACCUCUUUAACUGAACCACACAAGAAAAAAAGCUCACGGCAAAAGAAAAAAAUGCAUCUUGCAUUCUUGUAUUCGUCACUUAAUGUUACUGUAAUAUUCAACAAAACAUUGAAUUAUUUUCCAGACUUGUCGAGCUUGUGAAUUGACGAAAUUUUAUUGCAAACAAUAUUUCUCAAACACAGCAUGCUCCGAAUCAUAACACCUAUAGCUUCAGAUCUUCAUUGGCAGGAAACCCACGUGAGCCUCAGAAAUCAGAAUGAAAUUAUACACCACCCAUUUCUGUCCCCGUCAUCUUCUCAGCAGGACUCUGUAAAGCGUUCAGGGGCUCAAUUAUGCUCUCGUCCUCGAGAAGGGGUUUGCCGCGGCCCGGCUGGUCCUCUUUGUUCUUCUGCUAAUCUCGUCCUGUUUCUAGACCUCCCACGUCAAUGCACAUCUCGCCGGCUUUUGUUCCUUUCAGACUGACGUUAUGAUGGACGAUACGCGCUUGUGAGAUGAAUGCGCCUCAAUCGACAAAAUCAGAAAAUCUUAAAAAACGUUGGCAUUUAAUGGAGUCACUGUCGUGUUUUUGCGAAUCACGUGAAACUAUAAUUGUUUUUUUUUUUUUUUUUUAAAUGAAUCGUUUUUAAAUGUUUCAUAAGCAGCAAAUCAGCACAAUUGUUAGAAUGGCUUCUGAAGGAUCACGUGGCAUAAAAAAUAACAUUUUAAUAUCUAUUCAAAUAGAGAACAGUUAUUCGAAUCAUGAACUGUACAGUUGUUACUGUAUUUUUAAUCAAAUGCAUGCAUGCAUGUUCGAAAACACGUAUGCAUGUUUAUAAACGUAUUUUAUUCACAUUUAAUGUGCUUUCCAUACAUGUAAAAUCACUUUUGUGAAUUUCUUUUGAGGCAUCAUACAGAUGUAUUCUUGUCGUCUUGUCAUUCUUGUAUCUUAACUUUAUUUUCUUGCUUGCGUUUCUUUUUUCACACGGGGAGGAUUACGGGCAACUGACAGCUGCAAGGGAUUGUGGGAGCUGCCCUCCAGCAGCGGCAGAGAUCAAUGCGGUGAUCUGUAGGACCGCAGUCGGUGUGAUUGUGUCCCUCUGGAGUCCUGGGCUUCUCUCGUUCCUCACGCAGCUAGAAUAACCAAGCAGCGAGCCGCACGCCUCUGAAUGAAGAUCUCUGCGACCUUUACUCCACACCCAGUGACCCUGAAGAAGUAUGUUUUGUAGGCAACGGGGUCAGAUCAUUUAGGAGAGAAAUAAACGUGAUCUAAUGAUAUACUGCAAAACAGAAGCAGUGGGCGUUAAA